rnacentral:rRNA from 1 species
UGAGGAAUUUUGCGCAAUGGGAGCAAUCCUGACGCAGCAACGCCGCGUGAGUGAUGAAGGCCUUCGGGUCGUAAAGCUCUGUCAGGUGGGAAGAACAUCCAUGAGACGAAUAGUGUUAUGGAGUGACGGUACCACCAGAGGAAGCACCGGCUAACUCCGUGCCAGCAGCCGCGGUAAUACGGAGGGUGCGAGCGUUAUUCGGAAUUACUGGGCGUAAAGCGCGUGCAGGCGGGAAGGCAAGUCUGAUGUGAAAGCCCUGGGCUUAACCUGGGAAGUGCAUUGGAAACUGCUUUUCUUGAGUACUGGAGAGGAAGGGGGAAUUCCCGGUGUAGAGGUGAAAUUCGUAGAGAUCGGGAGGAAUAUCAGUGGCGAAGGCGCCCUUCUGGACGGAUACUGACGCUGAGACGCGAAAGCGUGGGGAGCAAACAGG